rnacentral:tRNA from 1 species
GGGGCUAUAGCUCAGUGGUAGAGCACUUACCUAGCAUGUGUGAGGCAUUGAGUUUGAUUCUUAGCACCG